rnacentral:rRNA from 1 species
UGGGGGAUAUUGGACAAUGGGGGGGUAACCCGUGAUCCAGCGACGCCGCGUGAGUGAAGAAGUAUUUCGGUAUGUAAAGCUCUAUCAGCAGGGAAGAAAGAAAUGACGGUACCUGAGUAAGAAGCCCCGGCUAACUACGUGCC